UACAGAGGGUGCGAGCGUUAAUCGGAAUGACUGGGCGUAAAGGGUGCGUAGGUGGUUUGUUAAGUUAGCUGUGAAAUCCCCGGGCUUAACCUGGGAAUGGCAGCUAAUACUGAUAGGCUUGAGUCGGUGAGAGGAGUGUGGAAUUUCCGGUGUAGCGGUGAAAUGCGUAGAGAUCGGAAAGAACACCAGUGGCGAAGGCGGCACUCUGGUACCAGACUGACACUGAAGCACGAAGGCGUGGGGAGCAAACAGG
rnacentral:rRNA from 1 species